CUAUACAAUUCUCAGGAGACCAUAUAACACU
rnacentral:piRNA from 1 species